rfam:Ricinus communis cultivar Hale ctg_1100012359437, whole genome shotgun sequence.
AAAUAAUGAUGUGGGAAUUGAAUCAGAUAAACUUUGAAUCUUUACCAAGCAUCAUAAAAGAUUUUCCCUCUUUCUGAGUGAAAUUAAAAAUUCUAGACCCAUAAUCU